rnacentral:lncRNA from 1 species
UUCGUAUAGUGUAUUUAAUCUGAAUGUGAAAUACUAGAUUAAGUUUCACGUGGAACACAUUUUAAAAUGGAACCGAUAACAGAGUCAGCACGUAAAGAAAGUUGCCUUUCCUGCAAACUUAUAUCAAUUGGCUGCUUAACUGGAAUUGGAAGCUAUUUGGUUGCCACAUCAAUCAGAUCGUACAAAGGCAAAUCCCGAGCGUUUAUAGGCGCUUUGGGAGCUGGUGCGAUUUGCUUAGGAGCGGGUGAAAUAUUUGACAAAAGUCCAUUUCGAUCUUCAGGAGCUGUAUAAAUACUCAUUAUUUAUUAAAUUAUUACGACUUUCUGUCAAUAUAUAUGUAAAUAUCAAUCAAGAACAGAUAUAAUGUGAAAUACAGUUGACAGUAGACAAAGGUUGUAUUAAAGUUCCAAUUUUGAGAAACAAACGAA